AGGAUAAUAAUUUAAAUAAAAUAUUUAACUUGCAUUUAAAAUAUAUUGGUAAACAAUUUAUCUUA
rnacentral:tRNA from 1 species